rnacentral:misc_RNA from 1 species
GUGUACUUGGCUGUUGACAUAGUUCUAACUGUACUAGUUCAGUAUACAAAAUUGGGAUCCUCUUUGUUAAGUUCACGGUUAUUCAGUCAGUAUGAAUGCCUGAAGAAGAGACUGAGCUGCCUGGGUUUCAUCUGGGGUCCCAGAGAUCACGAUAAUCCUGUCAGUUGUUCCAGGACGGGGCUCAUGUACCAUGACCCUAGCUCCUGAAAUCUGUCUUAAACGAGUCAAGUUGCUCCCGUCCUCCCCAUACACACAGCCGAUGAUGUUUU